AGUCAAAGUGCCUGCCGACCCGAAUCACCUGAAAUAUAUAUUUAUCUACAUUUAUGUAACGCCCUGUCCACCUGAUGAUGUAAUACACCGUCCCUUCUCCCCAUUAGCCUUGGAAGCUGACCUUAAAGCUCUGAUAUCAUGUGUGUGUUGAUGUGGUUUGAAAACACACACGCCUGGUGUCUCUAACCUUUGUCUUGUCACUUGUUCGCCCCCAUAUGACUCUUUUUACAGAUUGUCAGACGCUUGUUCACCACACAUCGCCACUCACCCUUUAACUAAAAAAAGAGGGAUUGUGGGGAAUCUUUUAUGUCAGUUAUUGCAGUAGUUCUGCCCGGAUGAGGAGGUACCGACACAAGGUCGAUUCUCACUGCUGAAUCGGUUCGCCGAAGGUUAGCACAGCAUAGAUCAUUUGGACUUGAGGAUAUCAAGGCAACACCAGCCGAAAACCAAACGAUGAAAACAGUCAAAAAGCUAGAUUUCUAAUUGUAUUCCCCCCAUUGCUGUCUCAUUUAAGCUAUGCAAUAUGACAUGGAUGGGAAUCAAGCUAAACUUCACUUAUUUAAUUGCUGCUGCAAGAAGCCAGGAUUUCUAAGUACAAGGCUCACACUUUCCGUGGGAAAUUUAUGAGUGACUUCAAUAUUAUAAUUACCCCUCAAUUUAAAGGCAAAGGAAAACAGGUUGUUUCUCAAUGUAAUGACAACUAUUUUUUCUACUUUAAUGUUGGAUUUUAGUUUUUAUUAUUUGUAUUAUUCAGUGCACUUUCAUUAUAUAGGAAAAUGUCAUACUAUUAUUAACCAGAGAAAUUCGUAGUGGAGUGGUUUGAGUUUUUUCCCAUAUCUACACAUAGUAGGCUAUAUAUAGGAUCAUAGGCCUAUGUGACUUCUACGUUGUGAUGAGCAAACGCCUCUUGCAUAUGGGAAGGCGCCACAAACCACAACCUACUAAUUGACUUUGUCUGUGAGAAUUGUAACCAUCUAAAACGUUUAUUUUUUCCUUGGUUAUAUAUUUACACUGUCCGUUAGCCUUUAUGUUUGUUCUACUAUGAUCUCUGAUAGAAAAAGUCCAGGGUGAUCAAAUUCUGGGGUUUUUCGUGUAUUUAUUAUUCCUAGGAAUAGUUCGAAAAAUUGCGCUGAAACUUGACAACGCUCUUGAUUCAAAAGAAGGUGAGUUGUGUUUAAGGAAAAAAAAACUGUGUGACAAAAACACGCUUUUUUCCCAGCUUCUUACCGAAGGGCGUUCCACUGAACGUGGAUCACUGACCAACAGAAUUCCCUACAAGUGCAUCGAUUAAAAUUCCAAAUUGGAAUUGUUCCAUUCUCCCUUUGCUUAUCGUGCCAAAUCAUGGUACACCGUUUAGGUUGAACAGAAUCAAGAAUAUGAAAAGGGACAUUUUUUGUCAUUGGGAAAGGCUUAGUUUGGACCACGGCUCUCGCGAGGGACGUGAUACGGUUUUCUGAUUUGUUUAGUUUCUUGUUUCCAACCAGUAGUGCCUUUCAUUGUUUCAAGGGAGAAUCUUAGACUAGGAUUUUAUGUUUAUUUUUAAAGGGUUGGGUUCAAAGUAACUGUGAGCAGCAAUAAAUGCGAAGGGUCGACCCCUAUCUGCAAGAACGAAAAACAGUUUAAAUUGGCUCGAUAAAAAUAAAUUAAUUGUAGGGAAUCAUGUGGGUCAGUCGGCCAUACAAUACAUUCAGGGGUAUAUUGAGAAAAAAAAUAGUUAUGUUUUAUUUUGAUUGGUUUUCUCACACUUUGGGAACCCAAAUAAAUCCCAAUGAACAACACCCUCCAUGCAUCUGAUAUGUAUGUGUUUGGCUAUUGGAAACAUCUCUAACUCUAGCUAUGUAUGGUGAAGGUAAUGUGAUAUCAAUAGUAUUGUGGAGGAAAAUGUGAGAGCGCAUUUUUUCAUUCCGUCGUUCAUUAUGGUGGUAUUUUUUUAUUAUUAUUGAUCUUUUUUAUAUCAUCUUUAAGCAUUAAUGUUUUCAGGAAACAGAAAACUAAAUUAGCAUCAACAAGCUUGAACCGUGCCAUUAUAGCCAAAGCUCGCUUGUUGAGGCGUUAAAAGUUGAAAUAUGGAAAAAGAAACGUAAAAAGAUAAAGUGCAAUUCUGAUACUGUUUUACAUUUUGAAAGACCUCAAAGUUUUCUGUUUGCUGGAAGCACUAGCAUUGUGAUAAUACAUUAGCUGUGCAAACUUUAUAUUGUCAUAUUGUGUUCAGUAUUGCUCCAUAAUUGAGAGUUUGAUACCUUUUUAUAUGAAAUAACGACUUCACCUGUAUUUAUUUGAAUUGUCAUGCAGUACUGUAUUCUUAUCAAUAAUGUGCGUUAUGAUUAGUGACAUAAUGAUUACAGCUAAAUGUCAUUUGCAUGUUUUUUUCAGUUAUGGGACCUUUACACAGAAUUGUAAAACAGACGUAUAACUUUGUAAUGGGUGAGAAGAAAAAUAGAAUUGAAAAGGAAAAAAAGACAAGUCUUUUGUCUCGUAUGUAUUACUGCUGAAAUACCGCUAUGAAAAGUGUUGUUUGUUUUCCAGGAGAGAUAUGGUUUGUGUAAGGGGUAGUCAUACUGGUUAAGAA